GACGAACGCUGGCGGCGUGCUUAACACAUGCAAGUCGAACGGAAAGGCCCAGCUUUUGUGGGGUGCUCGAGUGGCGAACGGGUGAGUAACACGUGAGUAACCUGCCCUUGACUUUGGGAUAACUUCAGGAAACUGGGGCUAAUACCGGAUAGGAGCUCCUGCUGCAUGGUGGGGGUUGGAAAGUUUCGGCGGUUGGGGAUGGACUCGCGGCUUAUCGGCUUGUUGGUGGGGUAGUGGCUUACCAAGGCUUUGACGGGUAGCCGGCCUGAGAGGGUGACCGGCCACAUUGGGACUGAGAUACGGCCCAGACUCCUACGGGAGGCAGCAGUGGGGAAUAUUGCACAAUGGGCGGAAGCCUGAUGCAGCAACGCCGCGUGCGGGAUGACGGCCUUCGGGUUGUAAACCGCUUUCGCCUGUGACGAAGCGUGAGUGACGGUAAUGGGUAAAGAAGCACCGGCUAACUACGUG
rnacentral:rRNA from 1 species